rnacentral:rRNA from 1 species
GUGCCAGCCGCUGCGGUAAUACAGAGACUGCAAGCGUUAUUCGGAUUCACUGGGCGUAAAGGGUGCGCAGGCGGUUGUGUGUGUCAGGUGUGAAAUCUCGGGGCUUAACCCCGAAACUGCGCCUGAAACUACAUGACUAGAGCAUUGGAGAGGGUAGCGGAAUUCAUGGUGUAGCAGUGAAAUGCGUAGAUAUCAUGAGGAACACCAGAGGCGAAGGCGGCUACCUGGACAAUUGCUGACGCUCAGGCACGAAAGCGUGGGGAGACGAAAAGGGAUUA